GCGUCCCGCCCGCCUGGCCCGGGGAGGAGCUGUGGCUGUGUGUGAGCAGGGCAGCCCUGGCUGGGCCGAGGCUGGGGAGGUUGUGGGGCCGUCAGACGGUGCAGUUCCCCUCCCCGUAGCGCCGGCAUUUCAUCACCUUCAGUGGUGAAACGUGCAACAGGGUGUCCUGAGCUCAUUAACUUAAGGCCAGCAGAGUCCCAGAAGAUGCCAGUGGUCUGUAGAGUAGAAGAUGGGAAGAUUACCCAUGGCCUGUGGAUCCUGUGGAAGAUCCUGAGAGCUCAGUGCCUCCUGCCUAGGAGAUCUCUGUUAUUCUGUAAUUAUCCAAC